AUCAUGUGUUUAAUUCGAUGAUACGCGAAGAACCUUACCAGGUCUUGACAGCCCCGCGAUGCUUUUAGAGAGUAAAGCGGAGGUAUUCGGGGAGACAGGUGGUGCAUGGUUGUCGUCAGCUCGUGUCGUGAGAUGUUGGUUAAGUCCCGCAACGAGCGCAACCCCUAUUGCUAGUUACCAUCAUUAAGUUGGGGACUCUAGCGAGACUGCCAGUGAUAAACUGGAGGAAGGUGGGGAUGACGUCAAAUCAUCAUGCCCCUUAUGACCUGGGCUACAAACGUGAUACAAUGGCUGGAACAAAGGGAUGCGAAGCAGUGAUGUGGAGCGAAACCCAUAAAAACAGUCUCAGUUCGGAUUGAAGUCUGCAACUCGACUUCAUGAAGUCGGAAUCGCUAGUAAUCGCGGAUCAGAACGCCGCGGUGAAUACGUUCCCGGGCCUU
rnacentral:rRNA from 1 species